ensembl:lncRNA EPIC1 epigenetically induced MYC interacting lncRNA 1
ACUCUGUAGGUGCCCCGGGGCACAGGCAAGCGGACGAGCCAGUUAUCCCUCAGAGCUCCUGCUGCCUCGCCCGCUUUCUCUCGGAAACGUGAAGUGUGGCCUCAGCUGAAAGUGAGGUGGGCCUCAUUCAAUCAGUUGAAUUCUUCAAGAGAGAAAAACUGAAGUCCCUUAGAAGGAAAGAGUUCUGCCUUCAGACUGUCUUUGAACUUAAGACUGUAGCGUCGACUCCUGCCGGAAUUUCCAGCCUGCUGGCCAGCUCUGCAGAUUCACACUUGCCAGCCUCCACAAUCGCAGCUGAGGCGGAGGAACCCUAAGGGCUCAUUGAGAUCAUGGAUUUGCCCUUCUAUGCAUUGAUGGAGCACCUGCUGCCCACAGCGUCUGUAUUUGGUGCUGGGAUGCUGAGGACACUGAGAUCUUCAAACAGAGGCUGCCACUCUAAGCAAACAGAUCCCGAGCCCUGGACUCUGAAGCUUGGGCCCAGUUCUCCUUUUCUCCGGGUUUCAGAUCCCACUGUGAAGUGAGGGGGCCCUUCUGAUUCAGGACCCGGGGAAGCCAGGGGCAUGAGCAUCGGUGCCUCUUCUCUAUUUCAAGGACCCUUCUGGGUGUAAAGUUCUCUGAGAUGCCUUACAUGGAUUCCCACCACUGCAAGAUAACCAUCGUAUGUAAAGUGUUAUGACCAGCAGAGCGUAAUUGAAGUGCAUUCCAGAGGGAAAGACAGCGGCUCAGAGUUAUGAGACCCUAAGCAGUCAUGGCCCAGUUCAGCCACUCCCGGACUCCUGACCCAGGGAACCUGUCAGAUGGGACAUGACCCUAUGCCAGCCCACACCACAGUCUUGGUCAUCACUCCUGUUUCCAUGGUGUUAACAGCAGCAGUUACUUGGUUACGGAGAGCUUUUCCUUACGCCAGCACCCUAUCCAUAUCGCUUGGACAGUACGUACACAAUGGUGAUGUUAUUGCUCGUCAUGUAUUACUAGUAAGAGCUUUGUCCCAGCAAGGAAGCCACCCAUGCAUCCACCAAACAUGAGAAACUCAAUCCCCAAAUCUCGUUUUGAAGUUCUGGUUCCUAGUCCAUUCCUAGUAGCCACAAUGAGAUCAGUCAGGGUCUUAGGAGGAAAAAACAUUCACACAGAUGUUUUAAAUGAAGGGACCUUAAUGACUAAACUACUAACAGACCUGUUGGCAUAUUAAGGAAAGAAAUGAGAGAGAUGGGGAAACUAAGGACUGGUAACAGCUGGAAGGCUUUGCCACCCUAAGAAUCAAACAGGGAAGGGAAAGAUGCAGCGUUACCAGGUCCUGUGUGAGCUGGCAUGAAGCCCGGGAGGUACCACCAUGGAGGCAUGGGGCUUCCUGAGAAGUGGUGAGGAAGAAUGGAUGGAGCAGGGAAGCAAGACCCCUUCCACCCACCGGCCCCCUGCUGCUGACCUCUUGGCCAAAUGGGACAGAAGCCAGCUUGCAGGGGCUGCUAUUCCGCCUGUGGGUAUCAGGGCAGAAAGUGGGCAGUUUCAGGGCAGGUGGGGUCAGUCAACAAUUCAGUUCAUCUUUUUCAGUUUUCUUUCUGGAUGAUUUUCAGAUGCUGUCUUGUGGUGUUGGGACUGCAGUUUCAUGAAAAUAUGUCUAGGUGUAGAGUUUGUUUUAUUCUGCUUAGAUAUAGAGUGCUUCCUAUGUUGGUGGAUCCAUCUUUUUUGACAUUAUGGAAAUUGUCUCUUUAAGUGUGUCUACUGCUGUAUUCUUUUUUUUUUUUGUAGGAAAGCAAAUAUAUGCGACUUUUUCAUUCUGUUAUCUAGAGGCAGUUUUGAAUGGUGAUUAAAAGCAUGAUUUCUGAA